GGGGGCGUGGUGUAGCCUGGUCUAUCAUCGCGGGCUCCAGAGGCCAUGAGGACAGGCGGGUUUGCUGACCUCGGGGCGUGAUGAACCUUUGGAGCCCCGAGGGCCGGAGAAACCCGCGGACCGGGGUUCAAAUCCCCGCGCCCCCACCA
rnacentral:tRNA from 1 species